ensembl:lncRNA
GUUUUGCCCUGGUGUAAUAUUAUAUUCCUGUCAUUUAGAAGCACCGCUUCCAUCCAGGGGCGUAUGUAGACUUUAUUUCACCUGGGUCAAAGACCCAGUUUGGCACACACAUUUGUGUACAUACACACAUAGGCAGGGGACCUGAAUGUUAGAGGACAUUCGGCACAGAAACAUGUGUGUAUACCUUUAAGAAGUUUCUGGGAUUAAUUGGCUGCAGGUGACCGUUGCUAUAAAGGAAAAAGGCUGAGUUUUGUUGCUUGCCUGCAGGAAUAACACCCACCAGAGUUUGUGUUUAUUUGCUUAGUAAUAAAGUCUUCGUUUUAGUUUGGGUUUUUACACCUAUGUCUCCUGGAGUCACUCUGUCCUCUGCCACCGGCUGGAAAUCCCCCUCCAACAGGUUAUGGGCCCAGUCCCCAGUCCUGAGUGGGCAGAGACAGAGCGUGAAAAGAACCCAGAGACUGGAAGCAACUCAGCGUUUCUCAAGCAGCUGGCUGUGUGAAGGCAUCGGCAGGGAGUGUCUGUUUGGGACCAGGAGCCGAACAUUUCUUCAAGCCACGUGUGAGUAAGAACUGAGUGGAAAGCUGAAAGCUGGGUGGUGCCAUGGCUGGACUUGGAGCUGGAGCUCAAGGGGGAGCUUCCUAUUUUCCAGUAGAGAAACUGGGAGAGUCCAAUUAUAUGUCAUGGAGUUUACAGAUGCAGGCGUUUUUAAAGAAAGAACAAUGUUGGACUGUUAUUGUUAACCCUCCUGUAAAAGAGGAGGAUGAAGAAGUAGAUGAAGCAGACCAAAGGCUGGAGGACAAAGCCUAUGCCAAUUUAAUUUUGAGUUUAGAGAAGUCUCAGUUAUCUCAUGUGCGAGACCUUGAAACAGCAAGUGAGAUUUGGCAAGCACUGAGAGCAAUACAUAUUAGAGACACUGCUGGCAGCAAAAUUACUCUAAUGAGAGCUCUGUACCGAGCCAGACUAAGUGAGGGUGAAUGUGUUUCAACACACCUUCAAAGAAUGCGUGAUUUAUUUUCACAGUUAAAUGAACUUGGGGAACAUUUUUCUGAACAGAGAAAAGUUUAUAUUGUGCUGUCUUCACUUCCUGAGUCAUGGGACAAUUUAGUGAUGACUCUGGAAGCAAUCCCAGAAAGCCAAUUAACAAUGCAUUUCUUAACUGGGCGUUUGCUUGAUGAGGAGGAAAGACGCCAUGAGAGGAAGGCCACAACCCCUCACCGUAACUCCAGAAAUGGGAGGCAGUCCAGUAAAAGAUAUGCAACUGAUGAGGAGCGGCAUCCUAAAGAGGUUGUAGACCACAGAGAGGAAGCAGCGUUCACAGUUAGAAGAUGCUAUCGUUGUGGGUCAACCAAGCAUUUAGUACGACAGUGCACUGUGUCUGUGGGAGAAAAUACAAGACAAGGGCGGCCUGCGUUUGCUGGGAAGCGAGGAGACAGGAAGAGUCGAGUCCAGUAUGUUUCUGCAGCAGUUCGAGGCACCAGUCACGACGUUGGACAAGACUGGAUUUUAGACUCAGCAGCGACAAACAUUUUUGUUAAGUCUGCACAAACCCUUGUAGAAAAGCAGCCUUGUAAAUCUGUAAAUGUAGUACUAGCUGAUGGAACAGUGCAUGAGUCAGCUGGAAAGGGUAGUGUGAAUAUCAACUGUUUAAGUACCAAGUUUACCAAUGUUUUAUGUGUACCAAGUUUAGAAAAUAAUUUGCUUUCAGUUACAAGUCUUGUUAAGCAGGGAUUUAAAGUAACCUUUUCUGGUUCAGGCUGUAGAAUAGAGAAAGCUGGAAAAGUGGUUACAGCGUCACUACAAAAUGGUUUGUUUGUUUUGAAAGACCAGCUAGUAAGUGAGUCUGGGGCAUGUGUUAAAGCCUGUAAUAGAGCCUUGCAUGAUGAGUGCCAGCAUCUGUGGCAUCUUCGUUUGGGGCAUGCCAAUUUCCGCAGUAUUGCAAAAAUGCCAGAAUUAAGCAAGGGAAUUAAAAUGAAAAAAUGUUCAGUUUUUCUAGACUGCAAUACCUGCAAGGAGUCUAAAAGUAAGCAAGGGUCUUAUCCUGAAAGUACUAGAAUUAGCAAGAGGCCAUUUGCUUUAGUACAUUCAGACCUUUGUGGGCCAUUUGCAGAGUCUGAAGGAGGAGCAAAGUUUUUUUUGGUUCUUGUGGAUGAUUAUAGCCGGUAUACUUGGGUAUAUUUGUUAAAACACAAAAGUGAAACUGGUCAACUGAUUAAGAAUUGGGUCAACUAUAUAGAAAGGCAGUUUCCCUACAAAGUUACCCAGUUGCAAAGUGAUCGUGGAGGCGAGUUCAUGUCUGAAGCCCUCCAAGUUUGGUUGAAAAAGCGUGGUAUUAGUCACCGUAAAUUGUGUCCUUUUUCGCCUGAAGAAAAUUCAGUUGCAGAACGCAAGAUAAGAUCUUUACAAACAAUGCUAGAUUCAAUGCUAUGUGAUUCUGGCCUAUCCAGGAAGUAUUGGGGGGAAGGAAUUCUGUGUGCUAACUACAUACAGAACAGAUUGUUUCAUUCUACCAUAAACAACACCCCUCAUUUUUUGCUUUAUGGAAAAAAACCCUUUUUGGACCAUGUUAAAACUUUUGGUUGCUGGGCUUGGGUUCACAUCCCAAAAGGACAGAGAAGGAAAGGAGAGCCCAAGGCAAACCUCUGAUUCCCUUCUGCAACUUGCACGGAGGGCGCGGGGCUUACUCCACCACCCAAUCUUCCCG